GAUUAACAAAAACGUUUUUGCCCAAACUGCCAUUUUGUAGGAUAGCAGCCAUACGUAGACAGCUUACUAAAUAGACGACGCAUUGCACUAUGUGUACACCGUCGUACAUGCACAAUCGUGAUGGCCUUGAGUCCUUCAAGACGCAAGCGGAUGCAGCCUGGCGAGGGAUUUCACGGAGAACAAGGUGGGCUUUUAGCGAGAGCACAAAGACCGCCGAGUGACAGGAUCGUGAACACGAGCGUAGUUGUGAAUAUAAAUCGCUUUGAAGACCCGCCCCCGGCCUCACACUGAUCUAGCUCCAAAUUUGACGUCCGACCCAUUAUCUUUGUGCGCCGUCUUCAGCCACUGAUCAUGUAAAACAAGCACAAGUGGACUGACUCAGUUAUGGCGAUGCAGACUUCGCACACGAGUCAAGGAGUUUUCUCUCGUUUUACAACUGCAGGAAAUGAUGCCCGAAUGACCAGCAGGUCAGGGAACAACAUUUGCCCAGAUUCCCUCUCAAGAGCACAUUGAUAGUAUAUAAAUGCACAUGUAGAAGCUGCGCGUCGUAUGUUGUCCUGUGUCACCCAUGAAAUUUAAGAACAACGUUGCACUUGUUCAACAUGGAGUGCUGUUAAAGCGCCAACCCGUCCCAGUGACUCGGUUUAGGCUCCGUCCAAGUUCAAAUCCUCUCUCUUAGAUACAUAUCUUAGCUUAUUUUACAGGGUUCUUUUUAUAUAAUUAUCUCGUUGCCUGAGAAGCGGCCAAUCGUAAGUGCAAAAGGUUUAACAAAGCAAUAAGCGUUUGGGUGUGUGUCUCCUAUUCUCUUCUUUGAAGCUAUUGGGAAUUGGAGGACAUUACUACAUACUGGCCUUGUCUACUGAAAUGCUGUGUGUUGGCUUGAUGAUGACACAGGACACUAACAAACAUCUGUGUGUACUCUCUAAAACAACCCCAAGUCUUGAGGCUUUUGUCAAUAAGAUUGCGUUGCAGUUUAAUAAGUGUAACAAAGAAUUUAUCACCUUUGUCAUUGUACUGUGCUGUAGAAACUGUAGCUGAUUGUUUGUAAGUAUAGCAACUGUUUAUGGAACCAUGAAUAUAAAAAAAAGGUGUAAAAAAAAAAAGAAAAAGUGUAAAUGAACAAUGCUGUAUGUUGUCUUUGAUUUUGUGUAUUUUGUAAAUGAGAAUGAAAUAUAAGUAAAUACAUCAAUGUUAAAUACUGGUUAUGAAUCAUAGUUAGCCUAAAUGUGACGACAUCAGUUCUGUUAAAAGGUGUGUGAGAUUUUGUUCUUAUAUUUUCUCAUUGUUGAUUUUUGGUUGGGUUUGCACUUUGCUGUGCAACUGAUCCCCUUGGCAUCACAAUG
ensembl:lncRNA